UACGGAGGGUGCGAGCGUUAUUCGGAAUUACUGGGCGUAAAGGGCGCGCAGGCGGCUUGGCAAGUCUGAUGUGAAAGCCCGGGGCUUAACCCCGGAAGGGCAUUGGAAACUGCCAGGCUUGAGUACUGGAGAGGAUGGGAGAAUUCCCGGUGUAGAGGUGAAAUUCGUAGAGAUCGGGAGGAACAUCAGUGGCGAAGGCGCCCAUCUGGACAGCUACUGACGCUGAGGCGCGAAAGCGUGGGGAG
rnacentral:rRNA from 1 species